GGUAAUAGCUGAUUUUAAAAGUCCAACUUUUAAGAUUGGCUAUUAGUAGGACCGAUCUUAAAAGUGUAACUUUUAAGAUCGGCUAUCAAU
rnacentral:miRNA from 1 species